UUUCGUUGAUUUGGAUGUUGUUGCUGGCGACCCUUGUCUGAUUUGUGUUGGCGUAAGAGACGUUUGCGGGUGAGUAUUCGUGUUUAUCGGCAGCCUCGCUCCUGAAUCUCCUUCUUUUGCAGGAUUUGCCGGCGUCCGGCGGCUCAACACCAGGCCAUCCCGCCCUCACAUAAUUGGCAUGAGAGACGGGCACGACCCAGUGGAGCGGCAACAGACGCCAGCAUCUGCGUCGUCGUUGGAAUGGCAGCUGUGAGCAGGUAUUUGCGUGACGUCAUUGAAAUGGUGUGGUAGCAGCGUCAUCAAUAGGGGCCUCCUUUUCCUUCCCUUUGGCAGGAAAUUGUCAAUGUUGAUGGCGAGGCAGCUGUUGGAGGGGCAGCUCUGUCUGUGUAAUGGCAGUGGCUGCCUCUGGAUCGACGAUUGGGCACAUCAAUAGGCGCCGCCCGAUCGCAUGCUUUCGCGUGCGCUGGCGAUUUGGGCCCUCCACACUUGGCCCAGUCCAUCGAAUGGAUCGUGGUCGGUCCAUUGGUCGUCGUCGUCAUCGUCUAAUUCAGACGCGUCGCAGUCAAUGUCGGACUCUGAAUCCGAUAUGGCUGCUGCUGUAUUGGCGGCGACUGAUGGUAUUGGCAGAGGGGCAGGAACUGCUGCUGCUGUUGGUUGGAGUGGGGGCAUGGCUGUUGUGCCCUUGCCAUUUGCUGCAGCCAAUUUGAUUUUGAGCGCAGCUGCCAUCGCACUGAGCUGCUGGCCGCUGCUGCUGCUGGUGUUGGCGUGGCGUCGGAGCAUCAUUCGCGAUCGG